rnacentral:rRNA from 1 species
UACGUAGGGUGCAAGCGUUGUCCGGAAUUAUUGGGCGUAAAGAGCUCGUAGGCGGUUUGUCGCGUCUGCUGUGAAAUCCCGAGGCUCAACCUCGGGCCUGCAGUGGGUACGGGCAGACUAGAGUGCGGUAGGGGAGAUUGGAAUUCCUGGUGUAGCGGUGGAAUGCGCAGAUAUCAGGAGGAACACCGAUGGCGAAGGCAGAUCUCUGGGCCGUAACUGACGCUGAGGAGCGAAAGCGUGGGGAGCAAACAGG